rnacentral:rRNA from 1 species
GACGUAGGGCGCGAGCGGUGUCCGGAUUUAUUGGGCGUAAAGAGCUCGUAGGCGGUGUGUCACGUCGGCCGUGAAAACCUGCAGCUUAACUGUGGGCGUGCGGUCGAUACGGGCAUCACUGGAGUUCGGCAGGGGAGACUGGAAUUCCUGGUGUAGCGGUGAAAUGCGCAGAUAUCAGGAGGAACACCGGUGGCGAAGGCGGGUCUCUGGGCCGAUACUGACGCUGAGACGCGAAAGCGUGGGGAGCAAACAGG